GAUGAACGCUGGCGGCGUGCCUAAUACAUGCAAGUCGAGCGAACAGACGAGGAGCUUGCUCCUUUGACGUUAGCGGCGGACGGGUGAGUAACACGUGGGUAACCUACCUAUAAGACUGGGAUAACUUCGGGAAACCGGAGCUAAUACCGGAUAAUAUUUCGAACCGCAUGGUUCGAUAGUGAAAGAUGGCUUUGCUAUCACUUAUAGAUGGACCUGCGCCGAAUUAGCUAGUUGGUAAGGUAACGGCUUACCAAGGCAACGAUACGUAGCCGACCUGAGAGGGGGAUCGGCCACACUGGAACUGAGACACGGUCCAGACUCCUACGGGAGGCAGCAGUAGGGAAUCUUCCGCAAUGGGCGAAAGCCUGACGGAGCAACGCCGCGUGAGUGACGAAGGUCUUCGGAUCGUAAAACUCUGUUAUUAGGGAAGAACAAACGUGUAAGUAACUGUGCACGUCUUGACGGUACCUAAUCAGAAAGCCACGGCUAACUACGUG
rnacentral:rRNA from 1 species